GGGGGUGUCGGGCUUCGACAAGUUGUAAUUUAAAAAAUUAGCAAGUCAAGAUCUCGCUCUCUUGUAAAACAGCGAACAAAGAAUAAAUGCUAACUUAUUCAAUCGGGCAAAAAGUGCGUUAGCUUCGGCUUUCACACCUUCAUUUGCUGCCGCUAUCGCCUAAUAAGGCUAUAGCCCGCUGUCUGUUUGAUUUCUGAUAAAACAGUUCCAGCGUCAUCAUCAGAAUGCAAUUUUUGUUCUCCUAGACAAAAACUAAGCUAGCAUUAGGAAAAAAUUCAAUCGUUUUUGGUUAACUUUAAGCGAUUGUCUUAUUUAAGUUAACUAAGCUUGUAGAAAAUUUUUUAUUUUCAAUUUGGACAUGGGUUCAACUCCCAUCACCUCCACCA
rnacentral:tmRNA from 1 species